rnacentral:misc_RNA from 1 species
GAAAUGCGAAAGGUAGUGCGAACCGCAGAGCUCAGCGAAUCAUCGAAUCUUUGAACGCAAAUGGCACCCGCCUCGGCGACGAGGGGGUGGGGCUGGGUGAGUGUUGGUGCUUGGUGUGUCGCCGCGCGAAGGCGCGCGACGAGGGUGGGCUUUGCGCGCUCGUCUGCGGGCGGCGCAUGGCCUGAAGGCCGCUGCUUCAGUGGAGGCGGAGCGAGCGGGGCGCGGAGCGGAAGCCGGGGGGCGGGAGCGGGGCCGAGGCGCGGCGGGCGCGUGCGUGUGUAACACCCGCGCGCCCGCUGCCCUCGAACAGCCCCCCUCGCCCCCCCCCUUUUCCCCUCCUCCCUCUCCUCCCCUCCCGAUUCUAUCGUUCAACCUCACCUCAGCCCCGACGACCCGCCAA